GGACUGUGUAGGAACACCAGAUUUCACCAGAAUGGACAGCUAGCAGACCAUGAGGAUUCAAUAAUCCCUUCAGCUAUGUUGCAUAAAACUGAAUCAUAUGCAGGGACAAAGUGAGAGGAACGCUGAGACAAACUGAAGGAGAUGAGAUGGUCCAUCACAUCAAAGAGCUGAGGUCACGGUGGAGACUUAGCACAUCAGUACACAGGUCCAUGGUAUUGGCACUGCCUUUUGAAUGUCCAGAGGGCGUCUCAGGAACUGAUUUGGCACAACAGAAACAAGCUGAGCCUUCAGGAUGUGAUGUGGGUUAAUCGAAGAAACAUCCAUAAUGGUAUGGCUAACCACCACCACUCUCUGGCCUCUCCUAAAGGCCCACCCAUCGGUGCCCCAGGGCAGAGGAGAGAGAGAGGGAGAAGGUGAAAGGGAGAUGGAGAGGGGAGAAGAAUUUUGUGCGAUAGAAGGAUUGACGCUGAAGUCAAUAAGGAUUCACUUCAGCUCUCCGUAAGAGUGAACAAGCAGUUUGUUGACAAUGAGGAAAAGGGCCUGCGUGGAACUGAAUUGUUGGGGGACUGAUGGGAGGACAUGGAAAUGUGGGUCGAGCUGCACCGGGUCUUUCAUCUGAAGGUUCUGUUCAUCCUCACUCCGCCUGCUAUUCGUCCAGGGAGAUGCCUGUCACAAAUUCCUGCCUUACAUGUCAGAGACACCCGUUCCCCCAUGCAGCCCUGGACUGGUCUUACAGACACAAUCCAAUGGUACACUCACUUUGUAGUAGCCACAUUUGACAUCUGGACCGCAGAGACAAAGGUGAAACACAGGAGCACACUGAUACUGUGGUGUGGUGAAUGUUGGUCUUAAAGCAGGUUUGGAAACUGACUUUUUCUGCUGUCAUAAAACAGAUCAGAUGACACAACAAUCAAGGUAGCAGCUAUAAAAAAAUACAGACAUUAACUCAUCUUUCCUUUUGUUGCUGCACAGUUUUUAAUUGUUUUUUCAUUGUUUCCAACAACUCCUCUUCCUCCUUUUGCCUGGUCUUCUCUCACUCAUGUCAUCUCUCUGCCUCCCGAUUUCCCCUCUCCUUCCUCUUAUUUAAUGAGGAUCAGAGUGAAAGUUAGAUGUGUCCUCUUCAACCACAUCAAGCGCUUCAAGCUUGUGCUACUGCUGUGUCCGAUGUCUGCAGGCACCGCUUUGUGUGCCUUCAAAAAUACCAGGCUUCAGCCUGAAAAGUAGCCAUUGUUUUGCUGCAUAGAUAAAUAUUGACCAUGCAAAGCCCAUAAAGGUUUGUGCUUUGACUUUGCAGUACACUUCAUGCUGAACUACCUGUCCUCCCCUGCAGAUGCAAGCUGUGUAAUGAUUUUAUGUGGUAGACAUCAGGUAAUCUGAUGGUACAGCGUUUCAUAUUUUGGUGAUGUUGUUUUUUUAAAAGCUAUAUGUGGGAGUGUUUUGAGGGCUGGGAAUAAUACCAAUGCUUCUCUCAUUCCAGUUUUUUGUACAACACCAGGAACACUCCUCGCCGAAAAACAUCUCUCGCCCUGAGGGAAACAAACUCAGUUCCUGUGCAAAUAAAUAACAGCACAUGCAGUCAAGACAAAACAGCAAUUAUCCAGGAGAGAGAGACAGAGAGAGAGAGAGAGAGAGAGAGAGAGAGAGUGCUAAUGUAGUUCAUGCACCAAUAUUUUCAUGUUCACCACUGUUUCUGUCUUUACAUGUCUUUACUGCCUGUUUUUGUGAUAAAUGUGUGUGGAUUUGUGCUGUAAACUUCUCCAUGCAGUUUGCCGUGUUUGCAUAAAUACUGUUUAACACUUUGAUGAUCAGAAGAUCUUCAUGGACUGAUCCCUUGGCAAGAGAAAGACAACAGGAGUUCAUUUUGACUUGUGUUGACACUAAAGUCUGAGCUGAAAACCAUGUCUGUGCGGUUGUUUCAGGCUCUGGCCUACUAAGUAGUCCAGGCUACAAAUGCAGGCAUGUUUCCCUACAAAUAUGAGUCUGUGAAUAAACUAAGCCUUAAGCCCGGCUGACAGCACAAUUUGAUUUUCUAAGAUGCCUUGCAAUGAAAACCUCUCCACCCUGUUUUAAGUAAUAAGAGAUUACAGGUAAUCUCCUGGUAAUGGCAGGUGGCAUUCCACCACAGCAAGCACUUCUGAGGCACUGGGAGAUGUUGUUUUUGACCUAAAAGCCGCACUAAUCCUGUCUCAACAUAUUAAUUGGUUCAUUGAUGAGCGCAGAAAGGAACUUUACUAACUCAACAAGGUCUGGGUGAAAAGGUUUGUGUUGUUCUAUGUCAUCUGUGUCUUUGCAUGUGAAGGUAUGUGUGGGCAUGUGCAUCUGUUUGCAGAGAUAUGUAUGUACCUGAAAGCAUGUGGACACGCACACUAUGUAAUGCCUCUGCAGCCAGGCUCAUGGGUACUGUAGUUUCAGUGCUAAAUUGACAUUCCAGUGAUGAUCUAGGAGACUGCUGUGUUGAGGUGUUGAAGUGUGUUUGGCUUAUUUUUUUUCAGUGCUUAAAGUUGGAUAUAGCAAACUGCACAUGUAAGCCACAUGUCACAAAUCGCUCUUUACAUUCUAAUGAAUACUAAAUGUACGUAAGAUUUGAUCAGCACCCUCAUUUUUUGCAAGACAAAUAACAAUAUGAAAGUUCAACUGUUGAAAGUUGGCAGGCAAAUAAAAUAUAGUCAGGUAUAACAGAGGCUGUUCACUUGGACAGCAAUGAGCAUAGACCCUAAGGUUUUUGUUGAAGCAUGAGACUUGAAUAGCAGCUGAAGCAACUGAACCGUAAAAGUUUGCAAAGUCAGAUAAAAAUGAACAAACUGAAACUGAACUACUAAACUGACAGUAAUGUAAAUAACACUGACACAGGAAACAGAAUAUUAAUUUGACUUUUAUAUAAUUUUCAUUUUAGUUGAUUUUGGUGUCACAUUAAAAUCUACAGUCAUAAAACAUCCGUGCAUGAGGCUAUAAACAGGUGUGGACCGCUUGUGAAUUUUGUUAGUACCUAAAAACUUUUUUUUUAAAUAGCAAUACAAAAAAAUUGUGAAUGUUCUCAUAAACCAAUUUUAAGUGUCAUGUAACAUUGCAUUCCUGACAUUGUCCAACUCAGGAUGGAUUUGAAGUUUUUUUUUUUGUUUGUUUUUAAAGGAUCCAAAUCAAUAAAGCAGAA